UCCCGGCGGCCUCCCGCCUCAGCGUUGUGCCCGUCACAGCCUACCGGUUGCCUGCUGCACAGAGGGGCGGGCGGCAGACGGUGGACGACGUCGCGUGAGAGCGGGCAGUGGGCGUCGGACGGCGAUGCGCGGGGGCGGGCGGCAGCGGCGCGGGAAGAGCGUGGCGAGCAGGUGGUGUUAAUUCCCCGUGAAGAUGACGACGCUCUUGCACCUAGAGAAGAAGACCGGGGAGCAGCAAACGUAGGUGGUCUCUACGAGCUGUACGCGGCGUUGCCGCCAUGCGGAGAAGGAGGAGGGGGCUGGAGUGGGCCUUCUUCUUCAUAUGCUGUAGCUGGACGAGCGGUAUUGGUCAAUGCAGUCCUCCGAGUCGUAGGCGAGCUCGCGGAGCUGCUUCAUCCACUCCAGGACGAAGUGGUCCACGGUGCCGUCGUCGGCCUCGAAUUGCAUGCGGUGGAGGGUGUUCAUGGUGGCCAGCUCGGCGACUUCGCUACCGACGCCGUUGAGCUGCCUGUAUUCCUCGGUCAGCAACUGACCAACGUUGCUUAC
rnacentral:lncRNA from 1 species